rnacentral:lncRNA from 10 species
CGAAAAAGAAAAGAAGAAAAGAAAAGUAAAGAAAAGAAAAAAGGAAAAAGGGCAAGCUCCUGAGUGGAUCUCUCAGGGAGCCACCAGACAGCCGCAGAGAGAAGAAGCUGCCCAAGAAUGGAAAGGAAGAAAUAUAUCACAUCAUCUGUCUGUCCACAGGCUUUCCUUGGGGCUUAUGAAGUGAAUGAAGGAGGGAAGAAAGGAGAGACAGAGAAAAUAUGGAUUUCCUCAUGGUUGUGAUUCCUCUUCACUCUUUUGAAUUUGGAAGGAUGGCAUACACAUCUGAAAAAUAGUAUUUGUGUCAGAGUAAGAAAUCUCUUUCUAGAUGUUUUUGCCAUAAAGUCAUAUUUCUGUGUUUUGGACAUCGCAUUUUGUGGUCAUAAAAUGGAAGUGAUUGUAAGGCCACGUAUUCAGCACAAUGACCUUGAUCCUGAAUGAAGUGGAGAGAGGAGAGAGAGAACAGCGUGACUAACAGCUCUUGUUGAAGCACAAGUAACUUUUUAUGUUCCACUCCACAAUGAUGAAAAAGUAAACACAGAGACAGGUUUUAGAUGUUGAUGGCUUUAUAUCAAAGUGAAAUAUAUUUGUCAUGUUCCAAAGUUACCUUCAUUAUCAUUAUUUUUAGAGGAAUGGUUAAAAGCAUAGGCUCUGGAAUCAAACAGCUUGGGUUCAAAUCUUGGAUCUUUCACUUCUUAGCUGCAUGACCUUCAUUAAGUUCUCAUCUGUAAAAAUAGGGAAAAUACGAGAAACUACUUCAUGGGAUUGUUACAAAGAUAAAGUGCAAUAAUGCAUGUGUCUGGCAUAGAGUAAGCUCUUUCAGUGUCAGUUAGUAUUAGCAUAAUUAAGUGCAGAAUGUUUGUAAAAUGUUAUCUAAAUUGUACUAUACUCGACCUGGUUUAAAGUAAGUGAAUGGAUAUCUGUGAAACUUUCUGAC